AAAAAAAAAAAAAAAAAAAAAAAACCUCAAAGAAAUUUCAAACAAAUAAUAAAAAUUCUUAAAGAAACAUUAGAAAGAACACAAAUAUCACUCAAAUACAUCUCAAUUCAAUCUUAAUUUGAUUCUAGUUAAAAUCCUAUUGAACUUCAUUCAAACUUUAGGCUAAAACUAAUUGAAUCUUAAAUCCUAAUAAAAUCCUAAACCCUAAAUCAAAUCCUAAAUAAACCUUAAACCAAAUCCCAACCAAAUCCUAAACCAAAUUCUAACCAAACCCUAAAUCAAAUCCUAAAUCCUAAAUCAAAUCCUAAACCAAAUCCUAAUCAAAAUACUAAAUCCUAAAUCAAACCCUAAUCAAAUCCUAAACCCUAAAUCAAAUCCUAACCAAAUUCUAAAUUCUAAACAAAAUCCUAACCAAAUCCUAAAUCAAAUCCUAAAUCCUAAACUAAAUCCUAACCAAAUCCUAAACCCUAAAUCAAACCCUAAUCCAAAUCCUAAACCUCAAACCAAAUCCUAACCAAAUCCUAAACCAAACUCUAAUAAUUCCUAUAACAGAUUCAAACCUAAAUAACUAAUGAAUAAACCAUCGAUCUUAACUCAAAUUUUUCAUACUUCUAAAAAAAAUAAGUUAAAAAGAAGCACAAAAAAAUUGAAAAGGAUCGGAGUUACCAAAUUGAAGAUAACCUCAAAAAUGUGCUUGGGUAUUGGCCGGCAUCCUUCUCUAGUCUUGAUGCCAAUCUUCCAGAGCCAAUAUCUCUCCAUUUCACUAUUCGAUUGAUCUCAAAAUUCUCAUACACAUAGAAAAACAAGUCUAAUAUCUUCUCACGUAAGUUUCACUCUAAUCCAACCAAUAGAUUGCAAGAAAUCUCAAAAACCUCCACUGUACCUAAAAUUCUACUUUCUGAGACCUUCACCCACUUAAACCUCAAUAUUCCUCAAUUCAACCAUUAGAUCAAGCUCAAAUUCAUGAUACAUAUUAAAAAAAACUAUAAACACACAAAAUUUCACUCAUAGAUCUAUUACAAAACUCUUGAAAUCAUCCAAAACGUAAACCAUAUUUUAUUUCAUAAAACCCAAGUCAUCCAAAACAAACCUUGACUUCGCAAAGCUCUUACAAAGUCAUAUCAACUCCAAAUCACCCAAAAUCAAUGCUCGUAGAAA
rnacentral:lncRNA from 1 species